rnacentral:rRNA from 1 species
GGGCAGGAGCUACCAUGCAGUCGACGGUAGCACAGAGAGCUUGCUCUCGGGUGACGAGUGGCGGACGGGUGAGUAAUGUCUGGGAAACUGCCUGAUGGAGGGGGAUAACUACUGGAAACGGUAGCUAAUACCGCAUAACGUCGCAAGACCAAAGAGGGGGACCUUCGGGCCUCUUGCCAUCAGAUGUGCCCAGAUGGGAUUAGCUAGUAGGUGGGGUAACGGCUCACCUAGGCGACGAUCCCUAGCUGGUCUGAGAGGAUGACCAGCCACACUGGAACUGAGACACGGUCCAUACUCCUACGGGAGGCAGCGGUGGGGAAUAUUGCACAAUGGGCGCAAGCCUGAUGCACCCAUGCCGCGUGUAUGAAGAAGGCCUUCGGGUUGUAAAGUACUUUCAGCGGGGAGGAAGGUGUUGUGGUUAAUAACCGCAGCAAUUGACGUUACCCGCAAAAGAAGCACCGGUUAAUUCCGUGCCAGCAGCCGCGGUAUUACGGAGGGUGCAAGCGUUAAUCGAAAUUACUGGGCGUAAAGCGCACGCGGGCGGUCUGUCAAGUCAGAUGUAAAAUCCCCGGGUUCAACCGGGAAAACGCUUUCAAAACUGGCAGGCUGGAGUCUUGUAAAGAGGGGAAAAAUCUCCGGGGUACGCGGGAAAUGCUUAAAGAAUCGGGAGAAUACCCGGGGGGAAGGGCGGCCCCCUGCACAAAAACUGACCCUACAGGGGCAAAAACGGGGGAAGAAAACAAGAUUAAAACCCCUGGUGUCCCCCCCCGUAAAGAAUGCCAAUUUGAAGGGGGCCCCUUAAGGCUGGGCUCCGGACCAUACCCAUUAAAUCCAACCCCCUGGGGAAGACGGCCCCCGGGUUAAACCUCAAUUAAUUGGCGGGGGGCCCCCCAACCGGGGAG